GGAGAGGCAGAAGCCCUAAGCUUGCCCAUCUGGGCAGAGGGAUCCUCCUCGCAUCGUCACUGGAGUAAAUCUGUGGAACAUCCUGCGAAGCAUUGAAGGAGCAUGGAGGAGAUGCCUGAGGAUGCUGAAGAAGGAAGAUGGACUACAGCUCCAGUCUCAUUGAUGCUCUUUUUGUCAGUGUGACUCAAACUUUGUCUUGCUUUGUGACUAAGUUAAAACUGGCUUGAUUCAGCAGCAGGUGAAAUCCUGGCUGUGUGAAGCCAGAGCAGAGCACUUGGUGACUAGGAUGUAGUUCAGUCUGCCCAACUGGGCAGAGGGAUCCUCCUCCUGUCAUCAUUGAUCUUUUAUGACUGGAUUACCAAGGCCAGAAGACAGGAUGAAGGCAUGUAGGCUGGUUUCAAGCUUUCUUCUAGAACACACACUCUCCUCACAGUUCAGUUCCAGGAAUAAGAUGACACCAAUAGAGUGCUUGUGGUUAACUAAGUGCUCCUGUUGUGCUGAACCCUUCUUUGUGAUCCAGUUGGGGUUUUCUUUUUUCCCCUUUAUUCUACUAUAUCAAAUUUCUGGUGGCAACUUCUGUAAUGGAUUUGUUCUUUGUACCUAUUUAGUCUGAACAUUUAUAGCUAUUUUCUUUUUAUGUUUUUUUUUCACUGUUCUGCUAUAAAAUGCUAUGGGACCUUCUUAUAACACCUCCAUGGAAUUCUGGACUGUUUAAAUACUUGACAGCGCAUAAAUAUCUGUGUUUCAUAACCUCAAGAUAUUUUUCCUCACAAUCUUCCCAUUCCAGAGCGAAUUUCAUUGACAAGAUGAGUUGUGUUUCUGCAACAAGCCUCAACAUUUGUCUUCCCAUACAUUAACAAAUCAGAUGGAGAAGAAAACUACUGAAUAGGUUGUUUCUCAAGAGCCUGGGUGAGGCUUACCCUUGGAAAGCAAUACUGCAAGCCAAGAACAGUAUGUAUAAAUGCACUUCGUUCAGGACAUUUUUCACUUCAUGGAGACCCAUCAGCCCUCCAGGCAGAUUCCUCCCAAGUUUUGUCAGCACACCCAUAAAUCUUGAAGUCCCUCCCACUGACAGAAAAAAAGCAACCCACAAAAAAACAAAACCAACAAGUGAUGCUCCAAGGCAAGCACAGCAAAUCAGCUGAUACAGCCAGGCAGACCUGCUCUUAUUAAAGACAGAUGAAUGUGUGGGUUGAGCCUUGAGAAAACAUCACAAACUUCUUGCUGACAGUGGUGAAGUCUUUUGACACUUGAGUUUCGUUAUUUGCAAUGUCCAGGCUUUUCAUGUUCAGAAAGAAAACACAAGCUUUUCUGAAAUCAGCAGAGUGGGGAGAAAAAGGGGCCUUAAAAACUACCUACCACAGACUGAACAAACAAACUUUCCAGAACUUAAGGAGAUGCUUGAAGAAAAUGGUGCUGACAAAGUGUAUCUACAUCAUCCAUUUGUUAAUCUGUGUUACUGCUUUUAGUGCUUCUGCUGCUAGAGGCCAGCUCCAUGAUUGCAAUGCAUUUGCUCUGGAAGGGUUUCUGCUGUAUCAUGCACUAGGGAGAAAUAACUGUUGAGUACAAUUUAACUGUCUAAGCUGAGGAGAAAAAAAAAUUACUAGUAAUUAUUCCCACUUGCUUGCCUUUCAGGAAAUGUGCAUUUUAAGGGCUCACAUAACUAUAAAAGCACUUGCAUGCUGAGCAGCUUUGAAAGACUUUUAAACAGUUUGAAACUCAAGAUAUUUACUGACUCCCAAGGACCACUGACAGCUACGCUGUGUUUGGACCCACUGUUUACUUUUCAUAAGCCAUGUGUGAUCCAAACGGGGAACAGAAGCUUGAAUCUCAUAGAUCAGCUGCUUGCAUUUGGUUUCUCAGUAUCAGGAUCGUAAACAUUUGCAUUAUUGGAAGCCUUCAUGCACAAGAGGAUUCUCUCACACACAGAGCACUAUCUGAUUCUCAGCAAGUCUGAGGAAGACUCAGAUGCAGAAAACUCUUCUAAUUGGAGAAAUAAUUAUUUGUGGCCAUAAGUUUCAUUCCUAGACUGGAGAAGCAUACAAAAUAUCCUUCACUUCCAGGAAGGUGCUACUAUAGGUUGAAUAUAGAAUAGCAUUUGCUGGAAGGGACCUUUGGAGGUCAACCAGUGCAGCACUCUGCUAAAAGCAAGUGUAGCCUUGAAGUCAAAUCUAGUUGCUCUGUGCUUUUCCCAGUCUAUUUCUGAGUAUUUUCAAAGCUGCAGACCCCACAGUCUCUCUGGAAAACCUGGUCUGGUACUUAAGAACUCUUAUUCCUCUUUUAUUCCUCUUCUAUCUAUUUAGAAUUUCCAUUACUAUAAUGGAAAUGCUCAUGGCCACAGCAGACGAAUCCCUUUUGGCAACACCAGCCACACGGCUAGAUGAUGAUCCGCAGCUCCUUUCUCCUGCUUCCCCUUGACCAGUAAGGUUGAGGACACCAGUGGUUUCUCUCUGUUUUUCAUUUUAAUCUCAAGGGCCAAGUAUUGACCCUACCUUGUCCCCAAAGUCUCCAUUGACAGUAUCACUGAUACCCACAAGGGCAAGCAGCAGUCCCUAGCUGUCUUUUUUCCAGUUCUGGUAUUAUAAAGAGUUUGUGUGUGUGUGUAUAUACACACAUACAAACUGGGAUUUCCUGAUGAAAGACAAAGAAUGAAGUCAGAUGUCAAAUUACCUCUUCUGCAGUACUGAAGUAAAUUGCCUUGUUCCCCUUUCAAUCUUUGGACCUUGGUUACAAAGACCAUAAAAAGACACAGAAUAUAAUAAUCACCUACUGAGGUUACAAAUUUCUGUGUGAGAGAGAACUUCAUGUUCCUUUCUAGAGAUGUCUGAGGAAUUGUUACCCUGAAGCUAUUUCCACACGAGUUCUGAAUUUCCUACCUGUCUAUGCUGACAGCUUUUGAAGCUCUCCUCUUUGUAAAGUACAGCAUCCAACCCAGAGAAAGCUCUGUGCUCUGGUGAAUGUUUAAUAUCCAUUUAAAUGCCCUGACCACUUUCAGCUUUCCAGCUUCCUCUUUCAAAAUUAACAUCAAAAAAUGGUUUUGCUUCAGUUCCUUCCCCUUCUACAAUUUGCAUUCUUUGCCAAUGCAUAUUAAAGGGUUCAUAAAAAUGCAUCAUGGACCCAUCUGAAGGAUGUGAUUAACAGCUAAUAUGAGACAUUACCUCGCAGUGCUUUGACAGAGAUGAUCACGUUCAAUUAUAUUUGAUGAUGGUAAUUCAUAAUUAUCAGUUUUGGUUACAUGUGAAAGAUGCAGUAUGGCAACUGCUGGAGAUUCAAAGCUUCUGUAUAAGCUUAAGAAAUAAAUACUGAUGUAAGUUUUA